UGGGGAUUGGUGUAACGGUAGCACGAGUGACUCUGACUCACUUAGUAAAGGUUCAAAUCCUUUAUCCCCAA
rnacentral:tRNA from 1 species